AGGCCGAUGAUGCUAAUCAUGCUCCUAUGUUCUUGACCAAGAGCUGAGGAUUCUCUAAAGAAUGUUUCCCAAGAGCUGAGGCCC
rfam:Oryza glaberrima chromosome 10 Oglab10_0098_1, whole genome shotgun sequence.